UACGUAGGGUCCGAGCGUUGUCCGGAAUUACUGGGCGUAAAGAGCUCGUAGGUGGUUUGUCGCGUUGUUUCGUGAAAACCGGGGGCUUAACCCUCGGCGUGCGGGCGAUACGGGCAGACUUGAGUACUGCAGGGGAGACUGGAAUUCCUGGUGUAGCGGUGGAAUGCGCAGAUAUCAGGAGGAACACCGGUGGCGAAGGCGGUCUCUGGGCCUUACCUGACGCUGAGGAGCGAAAGCAUGGGGAGCAAACAGG
rnacentral:rRNA from 1 species